rnacentral:rRNA from 1 species
CGGAGGAAAAGAAACUAACCAGGAUUCCCCUAGUAGCGGCGAGCGAAGCGGGAAGAGCCCAAGAUGAAAAGCCUGCUUGCAGGCGUUGUAUUUGAGCGUCUUUGGGGUGUCAGUGCGAGCAAGUUGUAUGGAAAUACACGCCGUGGAGGGUGAGAGCCCCGUCCAACUCGCACAGGACACAACCGUACAAAGGCGUUUCAGACGAGUCGGGUAGCUUGGGAAUGCUGCUCUAAUUGGUGGUAAAUCUCAUCAAAGGCUAAAUAGCGGCCGGAGACCGAUAGCGAACAAGUACCGUGAGGGAAAGAUGACAAGCACUUUGAAAAGAGGGUGAAAAGAGCCUGAAACCGUCAUGGGGGAAGCGGAUUGCGUUGGACUGGUGGGUUGUUGCGUGUUCAGCCGUUUCGGUGCAUUGACGCAACAACUUAUCCGCCGUGGGUUCUGGAUGGUCGAUAUUGGACCAUUCGGGGCUGAGGGCUCCCUUUUAUAGGUGAGGACGGCGGAGCGACGACGCGAUACGACCCGUCUUGAAACACGGACCAAGGAGUCUAGCGCGGGUGCGAGUCAGAGGGUGCAAGCCCGUGGGCAAAGUGAAAGCGAGUGUAAAAACGAGCAGUUUGGGGCGGCAUGAGAUCGUUGAUCUCAAGACCGACCCUGAGCAGUUGCGCUGGGACCCGAAAGAUGGUGAACUAUGCCGGAGUAGGGCAAAGCCAGAGGAAACUCUGGUGGAGGCUCGUAGCGGUGCUGACGUGCAAAUCGCUCGUCGAACUUGGGUAUAGGGGCGAAAGACUAAUCGAACCAUCUAGUAGCUGGUUCCCUCCGAAGUUUCUCUCAGGAUAGCGGGCCGACAUGUGUUGUUUUGUGCGGUAAAGCGAAUGAUUAGCGCACUCGGGGGCAGUUAGCCUUCGGGCGAUUCUCAAACUUUCAAUGCGCAAGGGUGCCGCUGCUUUGUUGAGCGGCACCGGCAAAAACGUCGGCCCUGUGGGCCACUUUUGGUAAGCAGAACUGGCGAUACGGGAUGAACCGUAAGCGUGGUUAAGGCGCCUCACUGCCCGCUUAGAGACCCCACAAAAGGUGUUGAUUCAUCGAGACAGCAGGACGGUGGCCAUGGAAGUCGGAAUCCGCCAAGGAGUGUGUAACAACUCACCUGCCGAAUGAAUUAGCCCUGAAAAUGGAUGGCGCUGAAGCGGGCGGCCGACACCACGCCGUCUGGUAAAGAAUGACGAUCAGAUGAGUAGGAGGGCGUGGUGGCCGUGUCGAAGCAUGCGUGCAGACGCGUGUGGAACGGCCACUAGUGCAGAUCUUGGUGGUAGUAGCAAGUAUUCAAGCGAGAUCCUUGAAGGGCGAAGCGGGGAAGGGUUCCACGCGAACAUUGAUUGGGCGUGGGUGAGUCGUUCCUAAGCCGAGUGGCGAUUGCUAAGUAGCGGCGAAAGGGAAGCGGGUUGACAUUCCCGCACACGGAUGUGGAGGCGGUGACGCGUAUUGGGGCGAACACGCUGGCGACGGCGCUGGGCAGAGUUGUCUUUUCUGUUUGACCUACUUUGCACGCGGUGUGGAAUCCGCUUGUCGGGAGAAACACGCGUGUCGGGGCAGAGCGCCGGGGCUUUUCCGGCGUCCAGCUCGCCGUCGACGGCCCUUGAAACUUUGCCUGCUGAUUUAAAUCCACGCCGUGGCGUACCGAUCACCGCAUCAGGUCCCCAAGGUGAACAGCCUCUGCUCGAUAUGAACAAUGCAGGUAAGGGAAGUCGGCAAAUUAGACCCGUAACUUUGGGAUAAGGGUUGGCUCUAGUGCUGCGUGGGAGUGGUUGCCGAGUGUCGGGGCUUUUGGUGAGGCUGGCUUGGCGCGGGACCCUUCGGGGACUUGUUCCGGCUGCCGAGCCGAUCGUUUCGCGUUCGGCGACGCCCACAGCAUGCAGCAGACUAGAACUGCAACGGGCAAAGGGAAUCCGACUGUUUAAUUAAAACAAAGCAUUGCGAGGGCCGUGGCCGGUGAUGACGCAAU